UUGUGUACUUACUCGACAGGAAGACACACACCAGCUAAAAAGCUGAUGGAGGAAGGAGACUAGGAGAGUCACGCAAAUAAAGAAGCAGGGAUGCUGUCCACCGUAUUGGAAGGCAGCCGAGGAGGCCCGCUCCACAGGCCACACAGAUGGAGCUGCCUGGUCUUGGACUUCCAGCCUCCAAGACUGUGAGCUAAGCUGGGAAAUCCAAAGCACGGCAUCGGCAUCCAGUCCACAUCUGAUAAAAGCCUGUGCCUGUAUCCCGGCCUGGUGGAAGACAUCACAUGGCGAUUCCAACCAGUCCACCUAGCUUGGGUCUCUCUUCCUCUUCUUACAAAGAUAAUAUUCACUUUACAAGGUUGUUGAGAAUAUUAAGUAAACAUAACAUUUCAGAAUUAUUUUAUACAGUUAUUUGCCCAGGUGUUCAACAAAUGCUAGAAUUGCUUCUUCUGGGUAAUGAGUACUUGGCAGUUCGAUAUGUAUUUCUCUACCUUUUCUGUAUGUUAAAACUGUUUUAUAAGAAAAAAGGGUGCGAGUGUGUAGCUCAGGGUAGAGUGCUUGCGUAGCAUGUCUGAGGCCCCUGGGCUCAGCUUCCAAUGCCACCGGAAAAGUCGUAGAAGAGGAAGAAAUGUUAAUUCUAGUUCUUCUCCCUUUUGAUCUUCUCUUCCUUGGCACUCCCUCGUGUAAGCUAUAAUUCUAUGAAUGAAUGUGAGGUGAGGUAAAUUCCAAGUGACUAAAUAGAUCAUCUCUUUGAGGAUCCAAAAAAUGGAUGAAACAUGAAUUAGGAACUUCUCACCUCCACAUAGAGAAAUGUCCCAGUCAAAGGUCCAGGCUCUUGUGAUAAUUCUUUUCCUUUUUCUCCUCCUGUGGAGGCAGCUUCUCCAGCGACCAGCAGGAGGGACCUUGCCAGUCCACAGUCUUGGAGCAGUCUCUCCCCGUCACGUGUGCUGGAUCUAGCGAGUGGCUGCAGAGUGAUGGGACACCACUUCUGGGACCGGGGGAAAGCAGUGUGACUUCCGUCUUGCCGUUUGUUCCUCGCUUUCUCUCUGUCCAGCGUCCAAGCUGUGAGCUGGCCCGUGGAGAGGCCCCCAAGGCCAGGGGGAAGCCUUCUGCCAACCACUGUAUGUGUGAACUUGCAGAUGAUCCCUCGCCGGCAGAGCCUGGGGGGAGCGUGCACACUCUGCUGACACCUUGGUGGCCCCUCAUGAGGAAGUCCAAGCCCAGGACCCAAGUGAGCCAGGAUAGAGGCCUCAACACAGGAAAGGCGCUAAUAAAUGCCGCUGUUGUCAUCUUAAGUGCUAAAUUUGGGAUUAAUUUUUAUAUAGCAAUAGAUAAUAAAUAUACCUGUCUCUUGGCGGAAGCAUUCCUUUAGAGUAUGUAUAAACAGGAAGAUUUUCUGUGCAUUCAAGGAUGAUAAGUUUUUCCAGAAAUGGGCUGACAUACAAUUUCUAUCCAGAGCCCUUCUAUUGCACAAAUAAUCACUAGGAGAGAGUUGUCAAGAUUUCAUUCAUCACACAAAAUUUAUGAGCUAGAGGGUUUUUUUUCCUGGUUUUUGUUUUGUUUUGUUUUGUUGUUUCUUGAGACAAGGUCUCACUAUGCAAU